rnacentral:rRNA from 1 species
UACGUAGGGGGCAAGCGUUGUCCGGAAUCAUUGGGCGUAAAGAGCGUGUAGGCGGCCAGAUAAGUCCGCUGUGAAAUCUCGAGGCUCAACUUCGAGCUGUCGGUGGAAACUGCCUGGCUAGAGUCCGGAAGAGGAGAAUGGAAUUCCUGGUGUAGCGGUGAAAUGCGCAGAUAUCAGGAAGAACACCCGUGGCGAAGGCGGUUCUCUGGGACGGUACUGACGCUGAGACGCGAAAGCGUGGGGAGCGAACAGG